UGGCUAGUAAGUACGGACAGUACGGGUAUUGGAACACGGCAGAAGGGGCGGGACUUCGCCCAAGUUUUCCCGCUUCUUCUCAGUUUGGGGCCGAAUCAACUGAACAAUAGAAUCUCGGAUCUCCAUUUUUGUGCCAUUCAAGUUCAUGUGACGAUUGAUCUGGACUCAAGCUGUAGGCCUACCAGUCAGAUGAGUAACUCAGUGGAGGAGGAGGACUUUGCGGAUAUCAGGGCCUACUUUUCCACAACAAAAUGGAACCGCCUCUGUAUGGCAGAGAAAAAAAGAUUCAUGCAGAUCAAGGAAAACCAUUUGGUUAUGUGGU